rnacentral:rRNA from 1 species
GCGCAAUGGGCGAAAGCCUGACGCAGCAACGCCGCGUGGGGGAUGAAGGCCUUCGGGUUGUAAACCCCUUUCAGGAGGGAAGAAAUUGACGGUACCUCCAAAAGAAGGACCGGCCAACUACGUGCCAGCAGCCGCGGUAAUACGUAGGGUCCGAGCGUUAUCCGGAAUCAUUGGGCGUAAAGAGCUCGUAGGCGGUUCAGCAAGUCGGCUGUGAAAGUCCGGGGCUCAACCCCGGAAUUGCAGUCGAUACUGCUGUGACUCGAGUCCGGUAGAGGAGAACGGAAUUCCCGGUGUAGCGGUGAAAUGCGCAGAUAUCGGGAGGAACACCAGUAGCGAAGGCGGUUCUCUGGGCCGGCACUGACGCUGAGGAGCGAAAGCGUGGGGAGCAAACAGGAUUAGAUACCCUGGUAGUCCACGCCGUAAACUUUGGAUACUAGGUGUGGCGGUCUAUACCAACGACUGCUGUGCCGAAGCUAACGCAUUAAGUAUCCCGCCUGGGGAGUACGGCCGCAAGGCUA